GAGCUGGUUCGAAUGUUAUUUUAAUUGAAAAUUACAUGAGAAUAGGAUACUAUAUGCCUAGGAGGAUCUAGCCAGCAUUGAAAGGGUUACUCAGUUGAUCUGUUAGCCAAGGUUUUACUCUAUGUGAAGUUUGCUUUCUGUGUCUGCGAAAUACCUCAUUAAUCUUGUCUUGACAGUUGAUGCUCUAGCUUUGUAAUGUGUUUAGCCAUUGCCAUUGUAUUACAUACUUAUGUUAUACUAAAUAUUCACUGAUUAUUAUCAUGCAUGCUGCCUAAUAUUAUUGUUAUUUAAUUUAUCACAAUAAAU